rnacentral:misc_RNA from 1 species
AUUGGUUGUUGUAUUUUGGUUUUGUUGAAGUAUUCUGUUUUAGUUUUCCCGUCAAUUGUAUUGUUUUAAAUUUAAUUUGUAUAUUAAACUACACAACACAAAAUUAUAGCCCAAAUUAUCGUGUGCCCGAUCGCAAGUGACGACGAGUGUAACCAUAGAAACAGCCAAGACCCAAGCAAGAGAGUGCAGCGUAGCAGCCAGGGCUUGCGACCGGUGACGAAAUACGAGUCGGCGGAAGAGAUAGCGAUAGCACUAUCCAAGCACAAGCGCACACUGACUGCUGGCAUUCAGCAGCGAGCAUUCCCGGCGAACAGGCGCAAUUCCAGCAGCAGCAGCAGCAGCCAGUCCCCAGACCAGACCAGACCAGUCCCGCAGCCACAGUCAGAAGCCGAACCAUGUCCGUCGAUCCCAAUACACCCGUGCUGCGGAACUGCAUCCACCUGCCGUUGCCCGAGGACGAAUUGAUCGAGGUGACGGGCAAGGCCAAGGACUAUGCCAUCAUGCACGGUGCGGCCAUGCGUUCCAAGACCAGCUUCAGUCCGGAUUCCUUGAACUUUGCUCCGUUUGUGCUGGUCCCCUCCUCGUUUCCGCGCAAGGAGUUCGAGAAGGCGGUGGGCUUGCAGCCGAUCAUCAACCGUCUGAUGCACAAUGUGGCCCACGAUGAGGAGUUCAUCACCACCACCCUGGCGGAGACUAUCAAGGUGGAUGAGUUCACCGCCAAUCUGUUUAACAUCUAUCGGAAAGUGCUGGCACAUGGCUUCACACAGCGAACAUCAUUGGGGAUGCUGCGCAGCGACCUAAUGCUAGAGUCCGGAUGCCCGGAGCUCUCGCCCAAGGCCCUGCUGCUGCGAGGAGAGGCUGGCGAGGAUGGUCAAGCGGAUACUGCUGCUGCUGCUGCUGGGACUGGAAGUGGAAGUGGAGGAGGCGGAAGAGGCAAGGCCAAGUCCAAGGCAGAAGCGAGGUCGGAAGAGGAGGAGGCCAAGCGGGAUAUGCAUCUGAGUCGGGCCACAGUCUCUGGGAUAACCACCGCUACCGUGGCAUCCAAGGAUCGAAAGACGGCGGCCUACUGCUGCUGGAAGCAGGUCGAGAUCAAUACGAUAGCUUCGGGCUUUGGCCAUUUGGGACCAGCAAGUAAAACCGUACAAAGGCUUAUAGCAUCGGCCUAUUGCGUUCCGACUAUUUGGGUCACGUGUACGAGGGCUGUGCCAUAAAGCAGGUCGAAAUCAACACGGUUGCCUCCAGUUUCGGUGGCAUUGCCACACACUUGGUGCAGCUGCAGAAUUUUGUGCUGAGAGAACUGGGACAUGCCGACAAGCUGCCGAAA